rnacentral:rRNA from 1 species
AGUGAACGCUGGCGGCGUGCUUAACACAUGCAAGUCGAACGAGAACGGGUUAUAGCUUGCUAUAAUUGUCAGCUAAGUGGCGCACGGGUGAGUAAUGUAUAGGUAAUAUGCCUCUUACUAAGGGAUAACAAAUGGAAACGUUUGCUAAUACCCUAUACUCCUUAUUAACAGAAGUUAAUAAGGGAAAGAUUUAUUGGUAAGAGAUUAGCCUGUAUUGUAUCAGUUAGUUGGUGGGGUAAUGGCCUACCAAGACUAUGACACAUAACUGGUUUGAGAGGAUGAUCAGUCACACUGGAACUGAGACACGGCCCAGACUCCUACGGGAGGCAGCAGUGGGGAAUAUUGCACAAUGGACGAAAGUCUGAUGCAGCAACGCCGCGUGGAGGAUGACACAUUUCGGUGCGUAAACUCCUUUUAUAUGAGAAGAUAAUGACGGUAUUAUAUGAAUAAGCACCGGCUAACUCCGUGCCAGCCGCCGCGGUAA